GAACGCUAGCGGCAGGCCUAAUACAUGCAAGUCGGACGGGAUUGGAGAGCCUGCUUUCCAUGAGAGUGGCGCACGGGUGCGUAACACGUAUGUAACCUACCCUUAUCAGGGGGAUAGCCUCUCGAAAGAGAGAUUAAGCCCGCAUAAUAUGAAGACACAGCAUUGUGAUCUCAUCAAAUAUUUAUAGGAUAAGGAUGGGCAUGCGGAACAUUAGCUAGUUGGUAAGGUAAUGGCUUACCAAGGCUACGAUGUUUAGGGGAUCUGAGAGGAUGACCCCCCACACUGGUACUGAGACACGGACCAGACUCCUACGGGAGGCAGCAGUAAGGAAUAUUGGUCAAUGGGCGAAAGCCUGAACCAGCCAUGCCGCGUGCAGGAAGACGGC
rnacentral:rRNA from 1 species